UACGUAGGGUGCGAGCGUUGUCCGGAAUUAUUGGGCGUAAAGAGCUCGUAGGCGGUCUGUCGCGUCGAUCGUGAAAACUUGGGGCUUAACCCUGAGCUUGCGGUCGAUACGGGCAUGACUGGAGUUCGGCAGGGGAGACUGGAAUCCUGGUGUAGCGGUGAAAUGCGCAGAUAUCAGGAGGAACACCGGUGGCGAAGGCGGUCUCUGGGCAUUAUCCUGACGCUGAGGAGCGAAAGUGUGGGGAGCGAACAGG
rnacentral:rRNA from 1 species